CUAGAGACCGUAAAGACACCGUUUUUGAAUCUUCAAUAAAUAAAUUAAACUUAAGUCUCUGAUUAAAUUAAAUUUAUCUAUUUAAAAUGAGUAAGAGUAAGUACACCAUAGAUUUAAUUAUUUAAACAAUAUGAAUAAAAAAAAUCAUGUACAAUUUAAGGAUUCCCAAUUUGCAAUUUACGGCUAUGGCGCGGAGGAAAUUGGAUAUCCUACUAUUCGAAAACAAAUGAUAUGUUUUUGAAUAUACACAUAGAUCAACUUCUUAUUACGUCAGAUUUAGACAAUAACAUUUUUGAAACAUUCAAUAUGAAUAGCAAAGUUAAAGGGAUAUAUAAAAACGACGUAUUGGUUUUAAUGGUUUCUGAAAAUUCUCAAAAGGUACGAAAACUAAAAUUUCAAAUAAAAACGAAUACUUCUAGUGUUAUACGACAGUUGAGUCAACAUUUCCCAGUUUCAAAAUAUCAAUCUACGAGAUAUAUUAAUAAAAAAAUGAAGUUUCGCAAUAUUAAUGAGCACUUUCAAACUGCUUUAAACAACAUAAAAAAUAGCAAUGAAACAUUAAAAUUACCGUUGCCAGGAGCUUAUAAGAAUUUUGUGAAACUUUGCCUUCUUGACCCAGCUUUUCCUAUGAUUAUUCAUGAAACACAAAAUAUUCUUAAUAAUGAAAAUGUUCAUGAAAAUUAAUUAUUAUAAAACUUACCAUCUUAAGUUUAUUGUAUUUUUUUUACAUAUUUCAGUACC